rnacentral:lncRNA from 1 species
UUUUUUUUUUUUUUUUUUUUCUCCUUACAAAGUUGGCAGCUCUUGGCUGCGUCACCUGCAGUUGUACAUUGUUUUGCAAAGACUAUGCAUGGCUCUACAUCCCAUAUGCUUCUUGUCUUAUGGUAUUUCUAGCAGUAUUUCCUUUGUGAGAGUUCUAAGUUUUUACUUUGUAUUCUUUCAUUUUUUAUUUUCUUCUGUAGCCAAAGUAAGUAUAGUUGUGUGGUUUGGUGGUUGUUGUUUUUUUUUUUUUUUUUUUUUGUUUUUGUUUUUUUGGGGUGGUGGUGGUGUUUUGUUUCUGUUUUUUUGGUUUUUGGUUUGGUGUUUUGUGGUUUUUUUGUUUGGUUGUUUUUUUUUUUUGGUGUGGUGUUUUUUUUUUUUUUUUUUUUUUUUUGAGCAUUAUCUUUUUGUCCUGGGUGAUUUUUUGCAGUUUACCAUAUCACAUAUCAAUCUCUUCCAAGUGUGAAGUCAUAUCUUUUGUUAGUUCCUUGCCCCUCGCCCUCUACCUUGCAGCUUUGGAUAUCUGAACUGAAUUCAUAUCUGAGCUGUUAUAAUGAAAUCUGCCAAGUGCCUUAAUUAUAAAUCUGACUUAUUAGUUUAAAAUUAAUAAAAGAUUCUUCAAGGAAUUAUUUCACUUUUUGCAGUUUCAUUUGCAAUCUUUCAAAAGUGUCUUGUUUAGGGGCUUCAGUAUUAUUGCAAUUUCACUUCAGAGCUUGUGCUUUCAGUCUGGCUCUGGAAACUGCUUAAAUUACCAGUAGGUACAGGUUCAGCAAAAAAGAAAAGUAGUUAGCAGUGAAAUUUGGUAUAUUUUUUCCCCCCCCCCCCCCCCCCCUUCAGGCAGAUUCCAGCUUUUCCCAUACAGAUGUCAGAUACUUACCUGAUCUUCUUCCUACCAUUCAUCAACAGAACACUAGUUUUGUGUUGUUAGUGGCUUUUAGUUCCCACGCUACUAUUUUUCCCUCUCAUUUUUAGGAGUUUGGCUUCCUUACUUCUCUGAUAAUCAUAAAGUAGUUCAGUACCUAACUAUAGAGUUCUGGACUUUAAACUUUGGAGCUUUGUGGUCCAAACAUCUGCUUAAAGCAGAGCUAAUAUUAGAUCAGGUUGUGCAGAGACUUAAACAUACAUUUUGAGUAUCACCAGUAAUGAAGGUCACAUAGUCUUGUGUGAGUUCCAGUUUGGUGUUAUCUAGCACCAUGAUGUAUGUAAGGAUUAAAAGAGCAAGUAUUAUUGAAGUUCAAACCUGUAUUUGAGAGUCUGUGAUAUAGGAAGAUCCUAAUUUUCCCAGC